rnacentral:rRNA from 1 species
UGGGGAAUAUUGCACAAUGGGCGCAAGCCUGAUGCAGCCAUGCCGCGUGUAUGAAGAAGGCCUUCGGGUUGUAAAGUACUUUCAGCGGGGAGGAAGGUGUUGUGGUUAAUAACCGCAGCAAUUGACGUUACCCGCAGAAGAAGCACCGGCUAACUCCGUGCCAGCAGCCGCGGUAAUACGGAGGGUGCAAGCGUUAAUCGGAAUUACUGGGCGUAAAGCGCACGCAGGCGGUCUGUCAAUUCGGAUGUGAGAUCCCCGUGCUCAACCUGGGAGCUGCAUUCGAAACUGUCAGGCUAGAGUCUUGUAGAGGGGGGUAGAAUUCCAGGUGUAGCGGUGAAAUGCGUAGAGAUCUGGAGGAAUACCGGGGGCGAAGGCGGCCCCCUGGACAAAGACUGACGCUCAGGUGCGAAAGCGUGGGGAGCAAACA